UACGUAGGGUGCAAGCGUUGUCCGGAAUUAUUGGGCGUAAAGAGCUCGUAGGCGGUCUGUCACGUCGGCUGUGAAAACCCGAGGCUCAACCUCGGGCCUGCAGUCGAUACGGGCAAACUAGAGUACUGCAGGGGAGACUGGAAUUCCUGGUGUAGCGGUGAAAUGCGCAGAUAUCAGGAGGAACACCGGUGGCGAAGGCGGGUCUCUGGGCAGUAACUGACGCUGAGGAGCGAAAAGCGUGGGGGAGCGAAACAGG
rnacentral:rRNA from 1 species